AUUGAACGCUGGCGGCAGGCCUAACACAUGCAAGUCGAGCGGCAGCGACAACAUUGAACCUUCGGGGGAUUUGUUGGGCGGCGAGCGGCGGACGGGUGAGUAAUGCUUGGGGAUCUGCCCGGUUGUGGGGGACAACAGUUGGAAACGACUGCUAAUACCGCAUAAUCCCUACGGGGCAAAGCAGGGGACUCUUCGGAACCUUGCGCGACCGGAUGAACCCAAGUGAGAUUAGCUAGUUGGUGGGGUAAAGGCUCACCAAGGCGACGAUCUCUAGCUGGUUUGAGAGGAUGAUCAGCCACACUGGAACUGAGACACGGUCCAGACUCCUACGGGAGGCAGCAGUGGGGAAUAUUGCACAAUGGGCGCAAGCCUGAUGCAGCCAUGCCGCGUGUGUGAAGAAGGCCUUCGGGUUGUAAAGCACUUUCAGCGAGGAGGAAAGGUUAGUAGUUAAUACCUGCUAGCUGUGACGUUACUCGCAGAAGAAGCACCGGCUAACUCCGUGCCAGCAGCCGCCGUAAAAC
rnacentral:rRNA from 1 species